AGUGAACGCUGGCGGUAGGCCUAACACAUGCAAGUCGAACGGCAGCACAGUAAGAGCUUGCUCUUACGGGUGGCGAGUGGCGGACGGGUGAGGAAUACAUCGGAAUCUACUUUUUCGUGGGGGAUAACGUAGGGAAACUUACGCUAAUACCGCAUACGACCUACGGGUGGAAGCAUGGGAUCUUCGGACCUUGCGCGAUUGAAUGAGCCGAUGUCGGAUUAGCUAGUUGGCGGGGUAAAGGCCCACCAAGGCGACGAUCCGUAGCUGGUCUGAGAGGAUGAUCAGCCACACUGGAACUGAGACACGGUCCAGACUCCUACGGGAGGCAGCAGUGGGGAAUAUUGGACAAUGGGCGCAAGCCUGAUCCAGCAAUACCGCGUGGGUGAAGAAGGCCUUCGGGUUGUAAAGCCCUUUUGUUGGGAAAGAAAAGCAGCAGGUUAAUACCCCGAUGUUCUGACGGUACCCAAAGAAUAAGCACCGGCUAACUUCGUG
rnacentral:rRNA from 1 species